UACGGAAGGGGCAAGCGUUGUUCGGAAUCAUUGGGCGUAAAGGGCGCGUAGGUGGUCUUGUGUGUCUACUGUGAAAGCGUACAGCUCAACUGUAUUUUGUCGGUAGAAACUGCAGGACUUGAGGCUGGGAGGGGCUGGUGGAAUUCCCUGUGUAGCGGUGAAAUGCGUAGAUAUCUGGAGGAACACCGGUGGCGAAGGCGGCAUCCUGGACCAAUUCUGACGCUGAGGAGCGAAAGCCAGGGGAGCAAACGGG
rnacentral:rRNA from 1 species